rnacentral:rRNA from 1 species
GAGUUUGAUCCUGGCUCAGGACGAACGCUGGCGGCGUGCUUAACACAUGCAAGUCGAACGAGGCAGCGGCCUUCGGGCCGGUGUCGAGUGGCGAACGGGUGAGUAACACGUGAGGAACCUGUCCCGGAGACCGGGACAACCAGGGGAAACUCUGGCUAAUACCGGAUGCCCCCGGAUGGCCGCAUGGCCAACCGAGGAAACGCUCCGGUGCUCCGGGAGGGCCUCGCGGCCUAUCAGCUUGUUGGCGGGGUAACGGCCCACCAAGGCAUCGACGGGUAGCUGGUCUGAGAGGACGAUCAGCCACACUGGGACUGAGACACGGCCCAGACUCCUACGGGAGGCAGCAGUGGGGAAUAUUGCGCAAUGGGCGAAAGCCUGACGCAUCAACGCCGCGUGGGGGAUGACGGCCUUCGGGUUGUAAACCCCUUUCAGCAGGGACGAAAAUGACGGUACCUGCAGAAGAAGCCCCGGCCAACUACGUGCCAGCAGCCGCGGUAACACGUAGGGGGCGAGCGUUGUCCGGAUUUAU